rnacentral:rRNA from 1 species
GCUACGGGGGGCAGCAGUGAGGAAUAUUGGUCAAUGGACGAGAGUCUGAACCAGCCAAGUAGCGUGAAGGAUGACUGCCCUAUGGGUUGUAAACUUCUUUUAUAAAGGAAUAAAACGAGGCACGUGUGCCUUUUUGCAUGUACUUUAUGAAUAAGGAUAGGCUAACUCCGUGCCAGCAGCCGCGGUAAUACGGAGGAUCCGAGCGUUAUCCGGAUUUAUUGGGUUUAAAGGGAGCGUAGAGGGGCAUUUAAGCCGGUGGUCAAAUGUCGGGGCUCAACCCCUGCCUGCCGUCGGAACUGGGUGCCUUGAGUGGGCGAGAAGGAGGCGGAAGGCGUGGUGUAGCGGUGAAAUGCAGAGAUAGCACGCAGAACCCCGAUUGCGAAGGCAGCAUACCGGCGCCCUACUGACGCUGAGGCACGAAAGUGCGGGUAUCGAACAGGAUUAGAUACCCCUGUAGUC